rnacentral:misc_RNA from 1 species
UCCGGUUUGUCACCGGCAGUCUCCUUAAAGUUCCCACCAUCACGUGCUGGCAAAUAAGGAUAGGGGUUGCGCUCGUUACGGGACUUAACCCAACAUCUCACGACACGAGCUGACGACAGCCAUGCAGCACCUGUCUCUCAGUUCCCGAAGGCACCAAGUUAUCUCUAACAAGUUCUGAGGAUGUCAAGAGUAGGUAAGGUUCUUCGCGUUGCGUCGAAUUAAACCACAUGCUCCACCGCUUGUGCGGGCCCCCGUCAAUUCAUUUGAGUUUUAAUCUUGCGACCGUACUCCCCAGGCGGUCAACUUACUGCGUUAGCUGCGCCACCAAGCACACUAAGGUGCCCAACGGCUAGUUGACAUCGUUUACGGCGUGGACUAC